AACGAUAAAUGAUAAAAGUGUCUAAUUCUAAGUUAAAUCAUUCUCAAAAUAGUUAAUUAUAUAGGUUCUCGCAAGAAAUGAUGUUAGCGCGAAAAAAUUUAGGGUUUCAACCAAUGGCAGGACGUCACAAUAUACAAUCGAUCCCCAGAUCCUGAGGAUAAACGAAGAUCUACAGAUUCUAUUGGACAGAAAUCUAUUGGAGGAAACGGAAAAUUUGGAGCAUAAUGAUGAAUACGACGAGAGUGAUAUAAGAUGAGUCUUUUAUUUGGUCUACCAAACUCUUGAUAGAUAUAAAAUAUGGAGAGGCAAAUUGUUUGGUUGUGCCUCAUAGGAAAGGGUGGGGAUGGAGACCUUUCUUUAUAUUAUGUAUAUAUGUAUACAUAUAUAGACGCAGUUAUCCAUAAUAUGGAAUUAUUCACCAAUUUUUCAAUUUUAAGCUUUUUAUUUCAAAUUGUGUCUGAAUGUAUCAGGCACAAUUGAAAUAAUAAUCUCGAAAUUAGAAAAAUUGGUAGUUGGUUAUAUAUAUUGCAUAAUUGCGUCCAUAUA